rnacentral:piRNA from 1 species
UAUGUUUAUGUGAAUGGAACCCUCUACUUGC